rnacentral:rRNA from 1 species
UAACUCAGGAUUUCCCUAGUAACGGCGAGCGAACCGGAAAGAGCCCAGCUUGAAAAUCGGGGCCCCUCGGGCCUCGAAUUGUAGUCUGGAGACGCAUCCUCUGCAACGCACCGGACCCAAGUUCCCUGGAAAGGGACGUCAGAGAGGGUGACAACCCCGUCGAGUCUGGACCGUGUUGCUCCACGAGGUGUGGUCGUCGAGUCGGGCUGUUUGGGAAUGCAGCCCUAAGUGGGUGGUAAAUUCCAUCCAAGGCUAAAUAUUGGCAAGAGACCGAUAGCGAACAAGUACCGCGAGGGAAAGAUGAAAAGGACUUUGAAAAGAGAGUUAAAAAGUGCUUGAAAUUGCUGGGAGGGAAGCGAAUGGAAGCUGCGGGUGUGCCCCGGUUGGAUGUGGAACGGCUCGCGCUGGUCCGCCGCUCAACGCGGGGCACUGGUCAGCGUGGGCCAUCGCGGCGGGACAAGAGCGGGGUGUAGUUCCCCGCCUAUGCCGUUGCGGUGGCCGAGGAACGAAGCGCGCGGGGCUUGCCCCGUGGGUUCUCCCAACUGCGCGCUCGGGACGCUGGCGUAUUGAGCUCUUCAUCCGACCCGUCUUGAAACACGGACCAAGGAGUCUAACAUGUAUGCGAGCCGGUGGGCGGCAAACCCAUUGAGGCGCAAGGAAACUGACAGGUGGGACCCCAUACCCUGGGAGCACCAUCGACCGACCGUGAUCUUCUGUGAAAGGUUCGAGUGUGAGCAUACCUGUUGGGACCCGAAAGAUGGUGAACUAUGCCUGAGCAGGGCGAAGCCAGAGGAAACUCUGGUGGAGGCUCGUAGCGAUACUGACGUGCAAAUCGUUCGUCAGACUUGGGUAUAGGGGCGAAAGACUAAUCGAACCAUCUAGUAGCUGGUUCCCUCCGAAGUUUCCCUCAGGAUAGCUGGAGCUCGUGUAAGAGUUUUAUCAGGUAAAGCGAAUGAUUAGAGGCAUCGGGGGUGUAACACCCUCGACCUAUUCUCAAACUUUAAAUAGGUAAGCCGCCGGGGUUGCUUGGUUGAAGCCCCGGCAC